AUGCGGCCUCUACGGGGAGAUCCCGGAGCCGGAGCGGAUCUUGCUGUCCUCUGCUGCUGCUUCUUGCUCCUCUCCUUCCUGUCCCAUGGCGCGGACAUGCCCCUAGGCUCCUCCCUCUCGCCGGCGGCCAAUUCGACCUCGUGGUCGUCGCCCAACUCCACCGUCUCCCUCGGCUUCGCGCCGUCCCCGACCUCCCGGUCGCUCUUCGUGGCCGCGGUCACCUAUGCCGGCGGCGUCCCCGUCUGGUCCGCCGGAGCCGGCGCGGCCGUGGAUUCGAGGGGCUCGCUCCGCCUCUCGUCCUCCGGCGAUCUGCAACUGGUCAAAGGAUCCGGGGCCGUGCUAUGGUCGUCCGGCACCGCCGGCCAGGGCGUCGCCGCCGCCGCCCUGCAAGAGAGCGGCAACCUCGUGCUCAAGAAUUCCAGGGGGCGCGUCGUGUGGCAGUCAUUUGACCACCCGACGGACACCGUGGUCAUGUCGCAGAGCUUCACCUCCUGCAUGAACCUCACCUCCGGCCCCUACGUCUUCGCCGUCGAUAGGUCCGGCAACCUCACGCUCAGCUGGGCCAGCGCCGGCGCCGCCCCCGUCACCUACUUCAAUAAGGGCUACAACAACUCCUUCACCGCCAACAAGACAGUCACGCUCACGAUGCAGACCAACGGCAUCGUCUCCCUCAACGACGGCUCCCUCGUCAACCCCGUCGUGGUCGCCUACAGCAGCAACUACGGCGAGAGCGACGACAUGUUGCGCUUCUUGCGCCUCGAGUCGGACGGCAACUUCCGCGCCUACAGCGCCGGGCGCGGCAGCGGCACGGCGACGGAGCAGUGGUCGGCGGUGGCGGACCAAUGCCAGGUGUUCGGCUACUGCGGCAACAUGGGCGUGUGCAGCUACAACCGCACGUCGCCGGUUUGCGGCUGCCCGUCGCGGAACUUCGAGCUCAACGACGCCGCCAACCCCCGCAGCGGGUGCAAGCGCAAGACCGAGCUCCAGAACUGCCCGGGCAACUCCACCAUGCUCCAGCUCGACAACACGCAGUUCCUCACCUACCCGCCGGAGAUCGCGAUCGAGCAGUUCUACGUCGGCAUCACGGCAUGCCGCCUCGACUGCCUCGCCAGCCGCUCCUGCGUCGGCGCCACCGCGCUUUCCGACGGCUCCGGCCUCUGCUGGCUCAAGGUGUCCAACUUCGUCAGCGCCUACCAGUCGGCGUCGCUCCCCAGCGCGUCUUUCAUCAAGGUCUGCUUCCCCGGCCUCCCCAGUCCGGCUGUUGUCGCCGGGCACUAA
rnacentral:rRNA from 1 species